rnacentral:lncRNA from 1 species
GCGGCGGGACGCGAGCGGCGAGCCGGAGCGCGGAGCCCGGCUCCCGCACCAUGGAGGAGGACGACAGCUACGUUCCCAGUGACCUGACAGCAGAGGAGCGUCAAGAACUGGAGAACAUCCGACGGAGAAAACAGGAGCUGCUGGCUGACAUUCAGGUAGGAGAGUGGCAUGGUGGUUUCACCAACGUAAGAACCACAGUGACAGUUCCAUUUGUAUGAAAGGGUGUCCUUUGCAGAGUGUCUCCUCAAGACACUUUUGACCUGCCCUCACUACAGCUCUGCACAAAGCGUAGGUGUUGAUAAUCAGUCACCUUUCCUCUACAGCUGAGGAGAUGCAGUGUCAGAGAGGUUGAGUGGCUUGUCCAGGUUCACCCAGUUGGUCGGUUGUCGGAGCUGGAGAUAGCCUGCAAGACUCCUGUCUCCUGAGUAGUCCUCUCUGCUGUGUUUGCCCUUGC